rnacentral:tRNA from 1 species
AAGAUUUUAAGUUAAUAAAACUUUUAAUUUUCAAAAUUAAAUAUAUAAUUUAUUUUUAAUUUAUAAAUCUUA